GCCCAGAUGGCGGAAUUGGUAGACGCGUCAGACUCAAAAUCUGGUAUUCGCAAGGAUGUGCAGGUUCGAUUCCUGUUCUGGGCA
rnacentral:tRNA from 1 species